rnacentral:rRNA from 1 species
CACGUAGGGGGCGAGCGUUGUCCGGAUUUAUUGGGCGUAAAGAGCUCGUAGGCGGCUCGGUAAGUCGGGUGUGAAAACUCGGGGCUCAACCCCGAGACGCCACUCGAUACUGCCAUGGCUAGAGUCCGGUAGGGGAGCGUGGAAUUCCUGGUGUAGCGGUGAAAUGCGCAGAUAUCAGGAGGAACACCGGUGGCGAAGGCGGCGCUCUGGGCCGGAACUGACGCUGAGGUGCGAAAGCGUGGGGAGCAAACAGG